GAGGAAUUCUGAACCAGCCAUGCCGCGUGAAGGAUGACGGCCCUAUGGGUUGUAAACUUCUUUUAUAGAGGAAGAAACUUGUCUACGUGUAGACAACUGACGGUACUCUACGAAUAAGGAUCGGCUAACUCCGUGCCAGCAGCCGCGGUAAUACGGAGGAUCCAAGCGUUAUCCGGAUUCAUUGGGUUUAAAGGGUCCGUAGGCGGAUUUUUAAGUCAGUGGUGAAAGCCGACAGCUCAACUGUCGAACUGCCAUUGAUACUGGAAAUCUUGAGUACAAAUGAAGUAGGCGGAAUGAGUCAUGUAGCGGUGAAAUGCAUAGAUAUGACUCAGAACACCGAUUGCGAAGGCAGCUUACUAACAUGUAACUGACGCUGAGGGACGAAAGCGUGGGGAGCGAACAGGAUUAGAUACCCUGGUAGUCCACGCCGUAAACGAUCAUCACUCGCUGUUGGCGAUAUACUGUCAGCGGCCAAGCGAAAGUAUUAAGUGAUGCACCUGGGGAGUACGCCGGCAAACGGUG
rnacentral:rRNA from 1 species